rnacentral:rRNA from 1 species
GUGGGGAAUCUUGCGCAAUGGGCGAAAGCCUGACGCAGCCAUGCCGCGUGAAUGAUGAAGGUCUUAGGAUUGUAAAAUUCUUUCACCGGGGACGAUAAUGACGGUACCCGGAGAAGAAGCCCCGGCUAACUUCGUGCCAGCAGCCGCGGUAAUACGAAGGGGGCUAGCGUUGCUCGGAAUUACUGGGCGUAAAGGGCGCGUAGGCGGACAGUUUAGUCAGAGGUGAAAGCCCAGGGCUCAACCUUGGAAUUGCCAUUGAUACUGGCUGUCUUGAGUACGGGAGAGGUGAGUGGAACUCCGAGUGUAGAGGUGAAAUUCGUAGAUAUUCGGAAGAACACCAGUGGCGAAGGCGACUCACUGGCCCGUUACUGACGCUGAGGCGCGAAAGCGUGGGGAGCAAACAGGAUUAGAUACCCGGGUAGUCC